rnacentral:rRNA from 1 species
UACGUAGGGAGCAAGCGUUGUCCGGAAUCAUUGGGCGUAAAGCGCGCGUAGGCGGCCCUGUAAGUCCGCUGUGAAAGUCAAAGGCUCAACCUUUGAAAGCCGGGGGAUACUGCAGGGCUAGAGUCCGGAAGAGGCGAGUGGAAUUCCUGGUGUAGCGGUGGAAUGCGCAGAUAUCAGGAAGAACACCCGUGGCGAAGGCGGCUCUCUGGGACGGUACUGACGCUGAGACGCGAAAGCGUGGGGAGCGAACAGG